CGCGGACGGGCCAAACCGGGCUCAUAACCCGAAGGUCGCGGGUUCGAAUCCCGCCCCCGCUA
rnacentral:tRNA from 1 species